GGUGGUAGUGAGUUGAAGAACAACCAUUGGAUGUGCUGAAUGAAUCAUUUCCUCCUCCCAGUCAUUUGAUGCUCUCUCCACCUGAAAGGCUCUGUAACAUUCUGUCUCUAUUUUAUUUCCAGGUUUAAUCUGCACAGGCAGCAUGUUGCUGCUUCCAGUCCUUCUUGCAACUUUAUUUUGGUCCCGUGGAGACAUGCAGUCAGCGCCAGUGCAAACCCCAGAGAUGCACCAUCAGAUGAAGGGCAGAUCUGCCAGCAUGUCAUGCCGACUGAUGAACGAAGACAUUGUGCACUGGUACAAGCAGCUUCCUGGAGAGCCACCAAAGAGGAUACUGUACCUGUCAGGACAUACAUCUGUUUUUGAUGACGGCAAUGAUAGAAAUAGAUUUGAAGUUCGAAAGGAUGCUACUCAGCCCUUAUAUGGUCUCACAAUAAAAUCUUUAACCCCAAGGGAUUCUGGCACUUACUACUGUGCAUAUUGGCACUACACCACAGCAUUAGUUGAUCAAAGAUAAGCCAUACAAAAAGAUACUUCGUGCUUUGAACCACAAGCUCUGAACUCUGCAGCAGGAGAGGAAA